AUUGAACGCUGGCGGCAGGCCUAACACAUGCAAGUCGAGCGAGCGGCGGACGGGUGAGUAAUGUCUGGGAAACUGCCUGAUGGAGGGGGAUAACUACUGGAAACGGUAGCUAAUAACGCAUACCAUCAGAUGUGCCCAGAUGGGAUUAGCUGGUAGGUGGGGUAACGGCUCACCUAGGCGACGAUCCCUAGAUGGUCUGAGAGGAUGACCAGCCACACUGGAACUGAGACACGGUCCAGACUCCUACGGGAGGCAGCAGUGGGGAAUAUUGCACAAUGGGCGCAAGCCUGAUGCAGCCAUGCCGCGUGUGUGAAGAAGGCCUUCGGGUUGUAAAGCACUUUCAGCGGGGAGGCGUUACCCGCAGAAGAAGCACCGGCUAACUCCGUGCCAGCAGCCGCGGUAAUUC
rnacentral:rRNA from 1 species